CCAAAUCCAAAAUUUUGCUUCUUUCAGAUACUAUUUAAGAUAUAUAUUGGAUGGAUUGGUUGCUUUUCUUUUUGUGCUAAAAGAAACAUUACUUAAGAAAACAUUAUGGAUGCCGUUCUUUUUCCAUGUCUCCACUUAUAAGACUGAUCUGAGUUGCAUUUGAUCAGAAUCAUCGACUGUUUUAUGGCGUAGUUAACAAAUCUGUUAUAGUAUUUAUUUGGCA
rnacentral:lncRNA from 1 species